rnacentral:rRNA from 1 species
AACGAACGCUGGCGGCGGGGUUUAGGCAUGCAAGUCGAGCGAGAAAGGGGAAACCCGAGUAAAGCGGCGUAAGGGUGAGUAAUAGGUAGUUCACGUAUCCUCCAGAUGCGGAUAAUUCCCCGAAAGGGGUUGUAAUACGCGAUGAGACCACGCGGGAUCCGUCCUGUGAGGUCAAAGGUUCGGGAUCCUUCGGGACCGAGCGCUGGUGGAGCGGACGACCUCCGAUUAGCUAGAUGGCGGGGUAACGGCCCACCANGGCGAUGAUCGGUAGCCGGCCUGAGAGGGUGUUCGGCCACACUGGGACUGAGACACUGCCCAGACUCCUACGGGAGGCUGCAGUCGCGAAUCAUUCACAAUGGGCGCAAGCCUGAUGAUGCCACGCCGCGUGCGGGAUGAAGGCCC